GACGAACGCUGGCGGCGUGCCUAAUACAUGCAAGUCGAACGCAGUGGGGACGGGUGAGUAACACGUGGGUACCCUCCCAUCAAAGGGGAUAACACUUGGUAACAGGUGCUAAACCGAUACUUAUGGAUGGGCCCCCGGUGCAUUAGCUAGUUGGUGAGGUACAAGCUCACAAAGGCCACGAUGCAUAGCCGACCUGAGAGGGUGUUAGGCAACACUGAGACUGAGACACGGCACAAACUCCUACGAGAGGCAGCAGUGAGGAAGUUUAGGAAAUGGACGAAAGUCAGACCAAGCAACGCCGCAUAAGUGAAGAAGGUUUGCGGAUAGUAAAACUAUGUGGUUAGGGAAGCGGUAUCUAACCAGAAAGUCACGGCUAACUACGUGCUAGCAGCGGCGGUAAUUC
rnacentral:rRNA from 1 species